GACGAACGCUGGCGGCGUGCUUAACACAUGCAAGUCGAACGCAGUGGCGAACGGGUGAGUAACGCGUAAUCAACCUGCACUUCAGAGGAGGACGACAGUUGGAAACGACUGCUAAUACCGCAUACUGAAGGAGGGCAUUGCGUCGGAUUAGCUAGUUGGAGGGGUACCGGCCCACAAAGGCGAUGAUCAGUAGCCGGUCUGAGAGGAUGAGCGGCCACAUUGGGACUGAGACACGGCCCAGACUCCUACGGGAGGCAGCAGUGGGGAAUCUUCCGCAAUGGACGAAAGUCUGACGGAGCAACGCCGCGUGAGUGAUGACGGCCUUCGGGUUGUAAAGCUCUGUUAAUCGGGACGCGGUACCGGAAUAGAAAGCCACGGCUAACUACGUGCCAGCAGCCGCGGUAAUUC
rnacentral:rRNA from 1 species